rnacentral:rRNA from 1 species
CCCUUAGAUGUUCUGGGCUGCACGCGCGCUACACUGAUGCACUCAACGAGUUUACGACCUUGCCCGAUAGGGUUGGGUAAUCUUUUUAAAAUGCAUCGUGAUGGGGAUAGAUUAUUGCAAUUAUUAAUCUUCAACGAGGAAUUCCUAGUAAGCGCGAGUCAUCAGCUCGUGCUGAUUACGUCCCUGCCCUUUGUACACACCGCCCGUCGCUCCUACCGAUUGAGUGCUCAGGUGAAUAAUUCGGACUGCAGCAAUGUUUGGAUCCCGAACGUUGCAGCGGAAAGUUUUGUGAACCUUAUCACUUAGAGGAAGGAGAAGUCGUAACA